AUACUAGAGCCUAACCCUUAUUAUGCGCAAGCUUCCAAGAGCCUUGGGUCUGUUCCAAAUCUAGAUGAGUAUAGGAUCUCACUAAACAUGGAUAUCAAGCUGGAUCAACGAAGGUACAAUGCCCCAACGACUUCUCGGGUGGCAGCGAUAUGGGUUGAAGGGAGCGACCCACAAAAUUGCUUUGACAGGAGUGUUGUCGGUCUUGUUGACACUGUUGUUGCUGGCGAGUCACGCGGUGAUCGGAUUGGCAAAAGAAUCGUGCUUCCACAUACAUUUCUUGGUGGUGAUCGCGACAUGCAACGGAGAUUCCUGGAUGCAAUGGCAAUUGUCCAGCGGUGGGGCAAACCAGAUUAUUUUAUUAUGAUGACUUGCAAUCCCUAUUAG
rnacentral:rRNA from 1 species